AUGGGAUUAGCUAGUAGGUGGGGUAACGGCUCACCUAGGCGACGAUCCCUAGCUGGUCUGAGAGGAUGACCAGCCACACUGGAACUGAGACACGGUCCAGACUCCUACGGGAGGCAGCAGUGGGGAAUAUUGCACAAUGGGCGCAAGCCUGAUGCAGCCAUGCCGCGUGUAUGAAGAAGGCCUUCGGGUUGUAAAGUACUUUCAGCGGGGAGGAAGGCGAUAAGGUUAAUAACCUUGUCGAUUGACGUUACCCGCAGAAGAAGCACCGGCUAACUCCGUGCCAGCAGCCGCGGUAAUACGGAGGGUGCAAGCGUUAAUCGGAAUUACUGGGCGUAAAGCGCACGCAGGCGGUCUGUCAAGUCGGAUGUGAAAUCCCCGGGCUCAACCUGGGAACUGCAUUCGAAACUGGCAGGCUAGAGUCUUGUAGAGGGGGGUAGAAUUCCAGGUGUAGCGGUGAAAUGCGUAGAGAUCUGGAGGAAUACCGGUGGCGAAGGCGGCCCCCUGGACAAAGACUGACGCUCAGGUGCGAAAGCGUGGGGAGCAAACAGGAUUAGAUACCCUGGUAGUCCACGCCGUAAACGAUGUCGAUUUGGAGGUUGUGCCCUUGAGGCGUGGCUUCCGGAGCUAACGCGUUAAAUCGACCGCCUGGGGAGUACGGCCGCAAGGUUAAAACUCAAAUGAAUUGACGGGGGCCCGCACAAGCGGUGGAGCAUGUGGUUUAAUUCGAUGCAACGCGAAGAACCUUACCUGGUCUUGACAUCCACAGAACUUACCAGAGAUGCUUUGGUGCCUUCGGGAACUGUGAGACAGGUGCUGCAUGGCUGUCGUCAGCUCGUGUUGUGAAAUGUUGGGUUAAGUCCCGCAACGAGCGCAACCCUUAUCCUUUGUUGCCACCGGUUCGGCCGGGAACUCAAAGGAGACUGCCCGUGAUAAACUGGAGGAAGGGUGGGGAUAAAGUCAAAUCAUCAUGGGCCUUACAACCAGGGGUACACCCUGGUUCAAUGGGUAUUCUAAAAGAAACGACCUCCCAAGAGAAACGGACUCCUAAAA
rnacentral:rRNA from 1 species